UUGAAUAGCAUAACAGUUUUAAGUCAAAACACUGUAAAUUGUUACUGAUGUGGUUGCCAUCAGGGAACUCAGCUAUGGAAUGUAUAAGCUACUUGAGUUUCUCUGUUAACCACCUAAAUGAAAUGAGCACUUAAGCAAAGGAGCUAGAAGAUUACAGUAUACUUGCUACUUUCAUUACCUUUUGGCAGGGGUAAUCUUUGAGCAUGUUAUUUUGCCUCUUGAGCCUUAGGAGUGUCUGUGUCUGUUAGGAGUUGAAUUUGAAAUGGCCCUCUCAGGCUUGUAUUCUGAGUGUUUGUUCCUUAGGUGGUGGUACUGUUUGAGGGAGGGUAUGGAGCCAUUAGGAGGCAAGAACUGGCUAGUAAAAUUUGUGAGUAAGGGCCUUUGAAGGUUGUCGCCAAGCUCCUGAUUCCAGCUGCUUUCUGCUCCCAGGUCCACCACAGCGAUGACAGGACAGUAGCCAGAGUCAUACACUCCUGCAGUGAUGAACUCCACUAUGCCUCCCUCAUUGUGACAGUCUAAGACCAUGAACCCAAAGAUUCUUUCAGCCCUCAGUCAUCUUUGUCAGGUCACAGGGAAGGGAAAGUCACUGAUGAAUCUUUGAGAUAGGUCUGUAAGUUUUCUCAAGGGUAUUUUAAGGCUUCCAUGAGAUGUUAAGAUUUUUUUUUAGGUGUUCAAGUUUCACAAAUGAAGAAAUCACCUUCCACUACACAUUUUGUAUGUUAAUCAAGUGAUGUGCUAGUCUUUUGGUUCACUGACAAAAAGAUCUUGAAGACCUAAGAGCUUUGUCAAGAAGCAAUUUAUUUACCUCCUUGUCUCUGAGGACAUCAUUAAAAAAUGCCGAAGAUGGGCUGCUGCUUGGGGUGCCACAGGAAAAGGUAUCUGGAAGUCUGAGCAUACUUUGGACCUCAUGGAAUGGCAACACAUGUUAUAAAACCCAGUUGAAAUGUAUGUGGAGGCAUGGCUAGAACAUUUUUCCUAGAAAAGGAGAAAUAAGACUGACUUCUUAAGGAUCUGGAUUCGGGACUAGGAAGAAAGUGGAACUGAAAUUCAAAUUCUUUCUUGCACCUGAGUAGAGUCUCCUCCUUCUUCCCUAAUAACCCCCUUCCAUUUCCAAGAGUUCCUCCAUCCGCUCUAGAUGGGAUAACAAGAAUGAGGACAUUCUCAAGUAAACAAGGAUCAUCGAUGGAAAGAGAAGCCAUAUGAGCUUCGAUGGCUCUGCUGGCUGCUGAUGAGGUAGCAAGACAUGAGGUGGCUUUGUCCAGAACACACGCAUACUCGGGAUCCGUGGUACUUUCUCUUGCUACUCUCCUAUCGAAGACUCAGCGAUGCUACUUGUGAUAAAGUGGUGUGGUGUUUGGCUUUGUUUAUAGACAGCUUGUAGCACCAGUAUUGAAUUUGAAACCUGAUUCUGCUUGAGUGAUCUCAAGUAGGAUGAUUAACUUCUCUAGGCCACGAGGCCCUUCUUUGGGAGGUGAUAUUAGCAAAACUUUACAGCAUGGGGUUGUUGGAGAGCAUAGGUUAUAUUAUAUUAAUUAAAAUAUUUUCAUAUUUCUUUUUAAAAUUUUAAUUUAAAAUUUUUUCUUCACAAUUUAUUCAUCAUAUAUUCUGAUUUAAGUCCCCUCCCUCAACUACCCCGAGUCCCAAACUCCCUCUGUUUUUCCCCCAUUACCUUCACCUAGUCCACUGAAAGGGGGAGUUCUCCGUUAUUGCCAUCUGCCCAUAGUUUGUUAAGUCUCAUAAGGACUACCUGGAUCCUUUUCCUUGGUGGCCUGACAAGGCUGCAUCACCAGGGGCAAGUAAUCAAAGAGCAGGCAAUAGAGUUCAUGACAAAGGCAACCCCUGCUCCCCUCACUCAGAGAUCCACAUGGAGGCUGGGCUGCCAAUUGGCCACAUCUGAGCAGGGGGUCUAGGUCCUCUCCAUGCAUGGUCCUCCGUUGGUGCAUCAGACUCUGCAGGACCCCCUGGGCUCAGAUCUUUUAGUUUUGUUUGUCUCCUUGUGGGGCUCCUGUCCCCUCCAUGUCCCUCUAUUUCCACCCCUUUCUUCCUCUAGAAGACUCCCUGCCCUCUGCCCAAAGAUUAGCCCUGAGUCUUAGCAUCUGCUUCGACCCCCUUGUUGGGUAAAUCAAUUCAGAGGACCCCUAUAGUAGGCUCCCAAGGAGGACCCUAGGGAGGAUGCUUGAAUCUAAUUAAAAAUUUAAUAUGACUUAAGCUGUAUAGCAAUGGUUUUACAUAUAUGUAUAUAUGUGUGUGUGUGUGUGUGUGUGUGUGUAUAUAUAUAUAUAUAUAUAGAUAGAUAGAUAGAUAGAUAUGAGUUCUCUUUCUCUCAAAUAAUGUAAAGGCAAGCUUGGAUGAUGAUCACCUGAUUACCAGAUUGUCCUGCUUUGGAUUAAAAAAGUCAACUAAGUCUUACAGUCAUAAACGGGAGAUAUGUACAAACUGCUUAACACACAAUUGAAAAAUUUACUACAUCCACUCACAUAGACAUUCUUUCAAGUAGAUCCACCCCACAGCAGACACUCAGUUUUGAACAAGGAAGGGAUCACUUUAUACAUGCAUGGUUACUACUAAGGAAAUCAGCAAGUCUCGGUGUGUCUGGGUUUACGGAGACCAUUCAUUGUCGAAAUUUUAUUUGUGUCUAUAUCAAAGCCCAGGGAAUAAGUUGAGCAAAGUAUUUCAGCCCCAUUUUCUACUUGAGAAAAUUAAGAUGCAAGAAUUUCCAGUUGCUGCCUGAAUGCCAUAAUUAGAACUUGGAGCUCAGUUUUGCUGAUUUUGUUUUUUGUUUUGUUCUUUUACUUUUUACUUUUCUUAAAACUGUCUUGUUCUUUGGGAGAGUGUAUGGACUCAAUAAAAUAAGAUACAGAUAUUAUUUGAGAGUAAUUUAUUUUGACAGUCUCCUGAAAAAACUAAAAAUUUGCAGACACUAUAACCUAGCAAGUUGGUGUCUAAAGACUGUCUUCAAAGGUGUUCAAGAAGCGUGGUGACACAUGCCUUUACUUCCACAACUCAGGGAGGCAGAGGCAGGUGGAUCGCUAUGAGUUUGAAGCCAGCCUGCUCUACAAAUGAGUCCAGGGCAGCCAAAUUACAGAGAAACACUGUCUUGCAAAACAAAAAACAAAACAAAACAAAACAAAACAAAAAAACAGGAAAACAAACAAAAAGGUGUCCAAGAACAGAAGAGCAAGGACAUUGACCUCAGCAUUGUUUGGUAAUAGAAACUUGGAAGCAACCUAAUGUCCAUAUGUAGAAGAAUAAGAAAUAUUUUCUUCUCUUCAAGUAAUGAUUGUUAAAAUAGUAAAUUACUCUCAUAAAUGUGCUAUUGAAUUAAAUAUUUUAGAAUAGCCCAUAUAGCAGAAUAGCAUUCAUAAAGCAUUUUAAAGUUGAAUACUAUAUACUUUUAAAAAUAUAAAUUUGCUGUAAUAGUGAAUACCUUUAAGAUCACAUAACAAUUUCAAUGUAGUAUUUACUUUGGAGAAAAAAGGGGGAACCUGACAAGGAGAGCAAAGUUGCCUU